UCCUUUGAUCUCUAUUGGUGCUGACAGAUGAUUAAUGACCCCCGCCCCCGGACCCCUUUUGAUCGUAGUCCUUUGAUCACUAUUGGUCAUGGCAGAUGUUUAACAACUUUGAAGUUUAGCGCAUGCGUGCUAGGCGUGUUAUGGGUUAUGUCCGUACAUGUCCCCCCUAGAAAAAAACGUAGUGUGUGGAGGGGGCGUGUUUAGCGCAUGCGUGCUAAUGCGUGUUCCGGGGACAUGUCCGUACAUGUGAAUCGGAAGUAGUAGGGCGUGUUUAGCGCAUGCGUGCUAAUGCGUGUUCCGGGGACAUGUCCGUACAUGUCCUAACGAAGAAUCGGAAGUAGUAGGGCGUGGCUAGCGCCUGGGCUAGUCGUAGCCAAAGCGAGCUAACCGGCAUUCUCAACAAGCUACCGUGAGGGGAGCCAUGAUUAACGAGACGUGUGUUAACAUUAGCCCUCAGCUGGUGAAGACUGCUUUUUACCAGAGGUUAAAGAAAUCAACAUUUCAAACUAUGAGUUGGACCUAAGGUCUGAUGCGGAGGACACUGAAUUGACACAUCACGCGUCGACACCGGCUUCUUCGCCAUCCCUACUAUGGGACCUUGGUGAUUCGG